rnacentral:rRNA from 1 species
UGGCCAGACUCCUACGGGAGGCAGCAGUGAGGAAUAUUGGUCAAUGGCCGUAAGGCUGAACCAGCCAAGUAGCGUGAGGGAAGACUGCCCUAUGGGUUGUAAACCUCUUUUAUGCGGGGAUAAAGGUGUCCACGUGUGGAUGUUUGCAGGUACCGCAUGAAUAAGGACCGGCUAAUUCCGUGCCAGCAGCCGCGGUAAUACGGAAGGUCCGGGCGUUAUCCGGAUUUAUUGGGUUUAAAGGGAGCGUAGGCCGGUCUUUAAGCGUGCCGUGAAAUUUUGUGGCUCAACCAUGAGAGUGCGGCGCGAACUGGAGACCUUGAGUGCGCGGAAGGCAGGCGGAAUUCGUGGUGUAGCGGUGAAAUGCUUAGAGAUCAUACAGAACACCGAUUGCGAAGGCAGCUUACCAAACUAUAUCUGACGUUGAGGCACGAAAGCGUGGGUAGCAAACAGGAUUAGAUACCCGGGUAA